CACAAGCAAGUCAAGGACAGAGCCCCAAGGGAAACCUACAGUUAGGGAGCAUGACCUGCAUGAAGAUCCAGCAAAAGAGACAUAAAAAGAGUGGUGAGACAGGUGUGAGAUGUACCAGGAGAGAGCAGUGUCCUGAAAACCCUAGAAAGAAGAAAAUGUCAAGAAGAGAGUGACUGGCAGUGUCAACAGUUGCAGAGUAGUCAGGAUAAAGACUGAGAAAAGUAGGCAGCAAUGAAGAGUUUCCUCCUCUCAUAGGAUUGCCACUCAAGGAAGAAGCAUCACCUGAUAAACAUCAUCUUCAUAGUAGGAGUCUGACUGCCUUUCAUAAACUGAGUUGGAAAAUGCAAAAAAAAAAAAAA